rnacentral:lncRNA from 1 species
CUGUAAUCCCAGCUACUUGGGAGGCUGAGGCGGAGAAUUGCUUGAACCCGAGAGGCAGAAGUUGCAGUGAGCCGAGAUCGUGCCACCGCACUCUAGCCUGGUGACAGAGUGAGACUCCAUCUCAAAAAAAAGAAAAAAAAGAAAAAUACUGAUGCCUGGGCUCCAGCACCCUGCAUGCCUAGUCUGGAUUUAAGUAGGAGUGAGGCGUGGGCGCCUCUAUGGAUCGAGGAAGCCUCCCAGGUGAUUCUAAUGUGUAGAAAUGUUGAGAUACAGUCCUUCAGCUACAUAGUGUUCAAAGCGUGGUGCGUAGAUCAGACAUGGACAAUCUCAAAGCACCCCAGCCUUGCUGAAUCAGCCCCUGCCUCUUAAGAUGCCUCUGAUGAUUCCUUUCACAAAGCUUGGGAAGCAGCUUUCUGUCGGCCCAGUGCCUAGCACUUGGAGACCACCUCUCCAUAGAGGGCUACCAGGAUCUCCUUCAGCACUGCGGAAGAGUGGGCCCCAGGGCAUGAUUAGGAGACCCCAGUCCUUUCAGAAUGGGUCAACAAUAGCAAGGGAGUGAAGCUCGAAGGACAAGUUCAGGCUUGGGGGAACUCAUGGUUCAGAAUGGCUCCCUUCCCUGGGUUGCUGCCUCUAGGCUGUUCUGGAACUGCAGUGAUUCAUUGUGCUUUUGAGUUUUGGGGCUUUCAUCUCACUAUUGCUGGAUAGUCUGUCAGAGUUAGAAGUGGAAUGAGUCGAGGCAGGCCAGGGGCCUCUCCCUUGCUGCUGGGAAGGGCCAGCACAUUCCUCGUUCCUAUGAUGAAGAUGCACGUGUAUACAAUAACCACCACAUUUCUUGGUACUCCACUUAAAACAUGUAAAUAACCCGAAACUGUUACUCCAAGUAUAAUGUGAAUACAGCUUGGCAAGGAAUUUAAUAUUUGCAAAACUAUAAAAUGUUUUGUAAUAUAAUUUCUUUAUAAAAGG